GAGUUUGAUCAUGGCUCAGAUUGAACGCUGGCGGCAUGCCUUACACAUGCAAGUCGAACGGCAGCACGGGAGCUUGCUCCUGGUGGCGAGUGGCGAACGGGUGAGUAAUGCAUCGGAACGUAUCCUGGAGUGGGGGAUAACGUAGCGAAAGUUACGCUAAUACCGCAUAUUCUGUGAGCAGGAAAGCGGGGGACCUUCGGGCCUCGCGCUCUUGGAGCGGCCGAUGUCGGAUUAGCUAGUUGGUGAGGUAAAGGCUCACCAAGGCGACGAUCCGUAGCAGGUCUGAGAGGAUGAUCCGCCACACUGGAACUGAGACACGGUCCAGACUCCUACGGGAGGCAGCAGUGGGGAAUUUUGGACAAUGGGGGCAACCCUGAUCCAGCCAUGCCGCGUGAGUGAAGAAGGCCUCGGUUGUAAG
rnacentral:rRNA from 1 species